GGAGGCUUGGCCAAGCUAAUGUCUUUCACAUCCAGCUGUGCAACAGCAUACAGUUGCUUAUGAAAACAAGAAAUAUAUUUGGACAAGAGAACAGUCAUUCACCCUUCAGAGAGUGCCUCACACACCUUCUUGGCAGCCAGUACAGAAGAAGAAAGCAUCCAAGCAGAGUCCCCGGCAAGGCAGAGAUGACUUUCUCUUCCUCCCUGCCCUGGAAGCCAGCCUUGGAAGGUUGCCAUCCUUACAUUUUCAGGUACCAAACCUUCAAAUCCCCUGUCCAAGCUGAGCUGCUCGCUUCUGACUUACCUCCUGG
rnacentral:lncRNA from 1 species